rnacentral:rRNA from 1 species
AAUUGCACAUAAAUACUCGCCCCCGAAAAUAAAAGAUCUAAAAAUAUAUAAGUUUUAGAUACUUAUAUAAUAUUGUUGUAUUAAUAUAUUAAAACAUAUUUUUAGGGGUGAAAGACCUUCAUUUUUACUGAUAUCUGGAUAAAUAUGAGAUAAAUUUAGUUUAAAAUAUAAUUACAAUGUGAUAAGAUAUUGUAAACGGAAAUUCUUGUAGUAUUUGAAUAUUAUUGUUAUUAAUUAAUCCUUAACAACAAAUAUUUUAAAGUAAAUUAUUUAACAUUGAUUAUUUCUUACCAAUAUUUUAUUUUAUUAUGUUAUUAACUAAAAUAGAUAAUGUAUAAAUUAGUACAUAUAAUAAAUUUAAUUGAAGGAAUUCGGCAAAUAAUUUAUACGACUGUUUAUCAAAAACAUAGCCAAUAGAUAUUUAAUUAUUGGUAUGACCUGCCCAGUGAGUUUUUAACGGCCGCAGUACCCUGACUGUGCAAAGGUAGCAUAAUCAUUUGGCUUUUAAUUGAAGUCUUGCAUGAAAGGAAAAACGUAUAAAAACUGUCUCCAUAAAUAAAUUUAUCUAAGUUAGUCAUAAGGUGAAAAUACCUUACUAAUAAAAAUAGACGAGAAGACCCUUAGAAUUUUAAUAAAAACUAGAACUAUAUUUAGUGCAAUUUUUGUUGGGGCAACAUUUUUUCAUAAAAUAAAAAAUAUUUGUUAAGUAUAUAACGAAAAAGUUUAAUAAAGUAAAAAUUACCUAAGGGAUAACAGCAUAAUUUUAAGAAAAGAUUGUGACCUCGAUGUUGGACUAGGAACUGUUAAGGCUAAUCGUUUUAAUAUAAUAGGUUCUGUUCGAACUUUAUUUCCUA